rnacentral:rRNA from 1 species
UACGUAGGGGGCAAGCGUUGUCCGGAUUUAUUGGGCGUAAAGAGCGUGUAGGCGGCCAGGUAGGUCGGCUGUGAAAACUAGAGGCUCAACCUCUAGACGUCGACCGAAACCAUCUGGCUAGAGUCCGGAAGAGGAGAGUGGAAUUCCAGGUGUAGCGGUGAAAUGCGUAGAUAUCUGGAGGAACACCGGUGGCGAAGGCGGCAUCCUGGACCGGUAUUGACGCUGAGGCGCGAAAGCCAGGGGAGCAAACGGG